rnacentral:rRNA from 1 species
CCUACGGGUGGCUGCAGUGGGGAAUAUUGGACAAUGGGGGCAACCCUGAUCCAGCCAUGCCGCGUGUGUGAAGAAGGCCCUCGGGUUGUAAAGCACUUUCAGUGAGGAAGAACGCCUGGUGGUUAAUACCCAUCAGGAAAGACAUCACUCACAGAAGAAGCACCGGCUAACUCCGUGCCAGCAGCCGCGGUAAUACGGAGGGUGCGAGCGUUAAUCGGAAUUACUGGGCGUAAAGCGCGCGUAGGUGGCUUGAUAAGCAGGUUGUGAAAGCCCCGGGCUCAACCUGGGAACGGCAUCCGGAACUGUCAAGCUAGAGUGCAGGAGAGGAAGGUAGAAUUCCCGGUGUAGCGAUGAAAUGCGUAGAGAUCGGGAGGAAUACCAGUGGCGAAGGCGGCCUUCUGGACUGACACUGACACUGAGGUGCGAAAGCGUGGGUAGCAAACAGGAUUAGAUACCCCUGUAGUC